rnacentral:rRNA from 1 species
UACGUAGGGUGCGAGCGUUUGUCCGGAAUUAUUGGGCGUAAAGAGCUCGUAGGCGGCUCGUCGCGUCGUCCGUGAAAACCCGCGGCUUAACCGCGGGCUUGCGGUUGAUACGGGCGGGCUAGAGUUCGGUAGGGGAGACUGGAAUUCCUGGUGUAGCGGUGAAAUGCGUAGAUAUCAGGAGGAACACCGGUGGUGUAGACGGCUUUCUGGACCAUAACUGACGCUGAGACACGAAAGCGUGGGGAGCGAACAGG